rnacentral:rRNA from 1 species
ACAUACGACCAUAGGAUCCUGAGAACUAGGCUUCCCGUCCGCUCAGCCAUAUAUAAGCAAGAUACCGGCGGAUUAGUAGUCGAGUUCGUGAGAAUCGGCGAAUCCCCGCUGUUGUAUGUU